UUCCACUACACUAAUAUCUUGACCAUGGA
rnacentral:piRNA from 1 species